AGUGAACGCUGGCGGUAGGCCUAACACAUGCAAGUCGAACGGCAGCACAGUAAGAGCUUGCUCUUACGGGUGGCGAGUGGCGGACGGGUGAGGAAGACAUCGGAAUCUACUUUUUCGUGGGGGAUAACGUAGGGAAACUUACGCUAAUACCGCAUACGACCUACGUGUGAAAGCAGGGGAUCUUCGGACCUUGCGCGAUUGAAUGAGCCGAUGUCGGAUUAGCUAGUUGGCGGGGUAAAGGCCCAACAAGGCGACGAUCCGUAGCUGGUCUGAGAGGAUGAUCAGCCACACUGGAACUGAGACACGGUCCAGACUCCUACGGGAGGCAGCAGUGGGGAAUAUUGGACAAUGGGCGCAAGCCUGAUCCAGCCAUACCGCGUGGGUGAAGAAGGCCUUCGGGUUGUAAAGCCCUUUUGUUGGGAAAGAAAAGCAGCAGGUUAAUACCCCGCUGUUCUGACGGUACCCAAAGAAUAAGCACCGGCUAACUUCGUG
rnacentral:rRNA from 1 species